rnacentral:rRNA from 1 species
AUACGUAGGGUGCAAGCGUUAAUCGGAAUUACUGGGCGUAAAGCGUGCGCAGGCGGUUUUGUAAGACAGAGGUGAAAUCCCCGGGCUCAACCUGGGAACUGCCUUUGUGACUGCAAGGCUAGAGUACGGCAGAGGGGGAUGGAAUUCCGCGUGUAGCAGUGAAAUGCGUAGAUAUGCGGAGGAACACCGAUGGCGAAGGCAAGCCCCUGGGCCUGUACUGACGCUCAUGCACGAAAGCGUGGGGAGCAAACAGGAUUAGAUACCCUGGUAGUCCACGCCCUAAACGAUGUCAACUGGUUGUUGGGGAUAUAUUUUCUCAGAAACGAAGCUAACGCGUGAAGUUGACCGCCUGGGGAGUACGGCCGCAAGGUUAAAACUCAAAUGAAUUGGCGGGG